AAGGGGAAAACUUAAUAGGAGUGGUCUUCUUUUGGAGGUGCCUUCAACGGCGACCAACUCGACACCUACAAGCUUCCGCCCGCAGUUGCUCGACCGCCAACGACGACGCCGCACGACGCCUGUGCUCUUCGGACACCAACGACGUCACCCACUACGUCGCUCCCACCGGCGUGACCUGAGAUCGUAAGCUGCCCUGAGACGUCUCCGCUGUGUUGAACUGAGAUCAUCGCCACCCCACCAUCGUCGUCGUCCCCUCACCGCUGCAUCUCCUCAGUCACGGACCAGUCUCACCAGUGCUUCCAUCUUGCACGGAUCAAGGCGGCCCCCGGCAAAGGAGUUCCCGUUGACCUGUUCGGUCAAUUGCUAGCGUUUCAGACUAGGCCUAGCGGCGCAGAGCUUCGCUACGUAGCUCCAAUUUUUCUCUGGCCAGCAUAGUGCUUCUGCGGUGGUCCAGUUCGACGCUGAGGGUGUUCCGUGCUUGAGAAAGCCCAUCAUUGCCAUUGAGGUCUUCUCGUGGCUGCCCGUCGCUGUGCUGGUCAUCCUUGUUGACUUUGCCAAGCCAAGUCAGUGAAGCGCGGACCACCACUUGAGAUUUGCUAUUGCUUAUCGAACGAGGCAACAUCGUUGAGCCAUCCCGCAAUCUGUGUUCGCCCGGACUCGGAAACUUAUCCGCACAAUAAUCUGAAUUAGGUCAAGCGCAAAUUUGGAACAUUGUGGAUCUUCUGUAAGACCGAAAUAAUCAAAUCGUGAGAUUUGCUUAGUCCAAGCAAGAACUUGCACGGUAAAAGAUCUUUCCAUACUUUAGAAAAGAGAAAUCUGCAUUUUAGUCGGUAAAAGUUGUUUCCAAUGCAUCUUCCGUCAUUAAAAGCUUACUUCGGAGGGUCCUAAAAACCCCUAGGAGGACUUAUUUUAUCUGUAGCGUGCUUGCACUAAAGGGGCAACUCUUGGGCUCGAAGAAUUCGCACGUGAACAAUAUCAAUAGAAACAUUUUUAGAACCAUGCAUAUUAAUCAUAGCUUUCAUUUUAUUCAUGUGUUCUGAUAUACAACAUUUAGUAGUAUGAGAAGUCCCAAUUCACCACGCGUUGUGCAGAUAUGUUUGAAACUAUAUGCACCUUAGUUUGACCAAAGUUAUGGUGACAUCAUUGGCACCAACCAGGACUUCUAUUGCUGUAUGCUUUCUUGUCUAAUCAACCAGGCAUCGCUCAUUAGAGGUGUCAUGUACAUUUCAAAUUCGAAUCGCUGGAUUAACGCAAGCCCCCACAUGCAAAUAUUUCGAUAUUAAUAUAACAAGAAAGAUUAAAUAUGUUUCUUCAUGAAUUUUCUUAAGUACUCUGGAAAUUCCAAGGGUCCGCAUGCGCUUUUGCCUUGGUAUAUGGUCCACAUGUUGUCACGUGAGUGUAGCCUGUCCUUGUCCGUUUGUUCUUUUUGUCAAUUACAUUUUGUUAUGUCCACGAUGACAGAGAAAUCAUCCAUUUCUGUGACUCGAUUUUUUGUAAGUCCACCAUAGCUGUCUGGAUUGAGGUGUCCACAGCGGUCUUUUUCUAUUUUUAUUUUUGGCUAGUGAUGGCUCUAAGUUUUCAGAUUGUCGAGGAUUUGAUUGGGGUUUAGUUAACGCUUUAAGUAAGAUUUGGUACCGAGCUCCAUAGUCUAUAACCUUCUCUCCUUUCUUCUUCGUGAUUUGGGUCUUCGUUAAGAUUCCAAAUUGUUGGAUCUCUAGUUCUAAAUCUUGGCCGUUGAUGAUCAAAUAUUCCAGCAAAAAAGUUUCUUUGUUUGUUUCUCCUUUCAUUGCUCUUCGGUGAUCCUUUUUUGCAGUCAAAUCUCUUCCGGUCGUCUUCUUGCUCUUGUUUCUCGGG